rnacentral:rRNA from 1 species
GAUGAACGCUGGCGGCGUGCCUAAUACAUGCAAGUCGAGCGAACAGACGAGGAGCUUGCUCCUCUGACGUUAGCGGCGGACGGGUGAGUAACACGUGGAUAACCUACCUAUAAGACUGGGAUAACUUCGGGAAACCGGAGCUAAUACCGGAUAAUAUAUUGAACCGCAUGGUUCAAUAGUGAAAGACGGUUUUGCUGUCACUUAUAGAUGGAUCCGCGCCGCAUUAGCUAGUUGGUAAGGUAACGGCUUACCAAGGCAACGAUGCGUAGCCGACCUGAGAGGGUGAUCGGACACACUGGAACUGAGACACGGUCCAGACUCCUACGGGAGGCAGCAGUAGGGAAUCUUCCGCAAUGGGCGAAAGCCUGACGGAGCAACGCCGCGUGAGUGAUGAAGGUCCUCGGAUCGUAAAACUCUGUUAUUAGGGAAGAACAAAUGUGUAAGUAACUAUGCACGUCUUGACGGUACCUAAUCAGAAAGCCACGGCUAACUACGUG